UUAUGGGAUGCAAAAAUCCCUCUGAAAAUUAAAGUUUUCCUUUGGCUUGUCUUCAAGAAUAGUGUAUUAACUAGAGAUACUUUAGCAAAGAGGAAUUGGAAAGGUAAAGAUGUUAGCUGCAGUUUUUGUGAUCAUAAUGAAAUUAUAGAGCACCUUUUUUGUACCUGUGUGGUUGCCAAGUUCGUUUGGGGAGUGGUUGGAAGUGUAACUGGGUUGGCUAAUAUUCCUUGCAAGAUUGAAGAGUUUAGUGGAUGGAUAGAGAGUUUUCCUAAUAAAAAUCAUAGACAGGUGUUAGCAGUGGGUGUUGCGGCGGUGUUUUGGUCUUUGUGGAAAGCCAGAAACUCGGCCACUUUCCAUCAUGUCUACCCGCAUGAUCCUAGUGUUUUGUUCUUUCAAAUAUCUUACUGGAUAUCGUAUUAG
rnacentral:rRNA from 1 species